UACGGAGGGGGCUAGCGUUGUUCGGAAUUACUGGGCGUAAAGCGCGCGUAGGCGGACCUGCAAGUCGGGGGUGAAAGCCCGGGGCUCACCCUCGGAACUGCCUUCGAUACUGCGGGUCUCGAGUCCGAGAGAGGUGAGUGGAAUUCCUAGUGUAGAGGUGAAAUUCGUAGAUAUUAGGAAGAACACCAGUGGCGAAGGCGGCUCACUGGCUCGGUACUGACGCUGAGGCGAGAAAGCGUGGGGAGCAAACAGG
rnacentral:rRNA from 1 species